rnacentral:misc_RNA from 1 species
CAAGAAUCCCUUUCCUUAUCACCUGUUGAUGCUUUCUCUCAUCUGGAGGUCAUUUUAUGGGAUUCGAGAGUGAAUGAAAUGCUCAUUUCGCUAGCAGUCUACCUA